rnacentral:rRNA from 1 species
UAGGGAAUCUUGCGCAAUGGGCGAAAGCCUGACGCAGCCAUGCCGCGUGAAUGAUGAAGGUCUUAGGAUUGUAAAAUUCUUUCACCGGGGAAGAUAAUGACGGUACCCGGAGAAGAAGCCCCGGCUAACUUCGUGCCAGCAGCCGCGGUAAUACGAAGGGGGCUAGCGUUGCUCGGAAUUACUGGGCGUAAAGGGCGCGUAGGCGGAUAGUUUAGUCAGAGGUAAAAGCCCAGGGCUCAACCUUGGAACUGCCUUUGAUACUGGCUAUCUUGAGUUCGGGAGAGGUGAGUGGAAUGCCGAGUGUAGAGGUGAAAUUCGUAGAUAUUCGGCGGAACACCAGUGGCGAAGGCGACUCACUGGCCCGAUACUGACGCUGAGGCGCGAAAGCGUGGGGAGCAAACA